rnacentral:rRNA from 1 species
ACAGGGUAAUAUAGCGAAAGAGUAGAUAUUGUAAGCUAUGUUUGCCACCUCGAU